UUUAGACUGUAAGCUGUGUGUGACAACGAGUUUUUGCAGCUGUGAAUCCCCCACUUGGCUGAGGACUCGAGCACGGUGGAGGAAAUGAUUCCUGUCACGUAGCCAGAGGGGGCAUAUUUACAUGGCUCCACAUGAUGUGAUGAGGAAAUCCUGUUGCAGAGAAUUCAGGAGGAAAACAAUAAUAUUGGAGUUUUUCCAAUGCCAAAACCAUUUUUUAUAUACCUAAAGAUAUUUGGGCUGAAAAUCCGACAUCCUGUGUUUAAGAGGCUGAGGUGAAGAGUCCCUGUUGCUGCAGAAAGGAGCCUCUUUGCAGGGUCCAUGUCCCAAGACGUUUCAGAAGUCAUACCAGCUGCUUUUGACAAAAGAUUUGCUGAAAAACUCUUGAAUAGCAUGAAGUGGGACAUUUAACAAGAAAAUAGAACAGAUCUUAGGCUUAGCAAGUUUCCAUUUUUGGCCCUCUGAAGAAACCUCCCUUGUCUGCAGGAACAGUCAUGCCCACUCACCUCCAAGAGCUCUGCCGAGGCGUCCACUACCCUCAGAUGCCUCCAGCAACACCACAGGGUCUUCCAGGGAAACCAGGACUUACCUCUCUCCUGAAAGGUUUUCCCAGCCCACUUUGUCUUCUCUGAUGGUCCAGUAGGAGCUUUAAACCCUCAGUUUCCCACAAUGUUUAGCGGGAUGCCAUCCUUAAGGUAUCCCAGGUCAAGUGCUCUGCUCUAUGUUUGACCAGUGCAUGAAAUACUGGUCCAAAACCUGCUGCCCUGCAUUACCUGUGUUCUCUACCUAUCUUCUAUAUGUCCUUGCUCUCCAGAACAAGACUGAUUGCCUGAGAGGACUCUCACGUUCCCAGGAAUGCAAGUGUCAUGGUCGUGCUCAGGAGAAGAGGACUUCACCAUGGCUAGGACACUUGCAGAAGGCCAGUGGAGGAAGAGGAGUGUGGUGAGGAUGAGCAUUUGAUAACAAGAGGCAUUUACAGUGGUGACUGGAGUUGAGCCGCGUGGUAGAUACAACACAAUAUUUUGUAUUCAGAU